UACGUAGGGUGCGAGCGUUGUCCGGAAUUAUUGGGCGUAAAGAGCUCGUAGGCGGUUUGUCACGUCUGCUGUGAAAUCCCGAGGCUCAACCUCGGGCCUGCAGUGGGUACGGGCAGACUAGAGUGCGGUAGGGGAGACUGGAAUUCCUGGUGUAGCGGUGAAAUGCGCAGAUAUCAGGAGGAACACCGGUGGCGAAGGCGGGUCUCUGGGCCGUAACUGACGCUGGAGGAGCGAAAAGCAUGGGGAGCGAACAGG
rnacentral:rRNA from 1 species